UAUAGUUUAUGCCAACAAGACUACUCAGGAUGGGGGAUGACCAUGCCAGGAAAACCAACCAUGUGAUUAGAGGGCUGGGGCUUUAAGCCAUGUGGUAUCAACUCAACCUUUGGGAAGAGGAAGAGAACAAGAGAUUAAGAACCAUGGGCAAUCAUUCAAUUGAUCACGAGAGCAAAGCAUCCUGACUGCAGGAAGAGAGGGCGAAAGAAGUGUCGCCUUCAGCAUCCUUCUACAUCUCGCCCUGUAAGUUUCUCCUUUUGGCUGGUUCCGAUUUAUAUCCUUUGGCUAUAAUAACACUGUCAUCGUAAGUACAGCUGCUCCCUGAAUAACUCAGGGGUUGGGGCACCAAUCCCCCACACUGUCAAAAAUCUGCAUAUAACGUUUGAUUCCCCCCAAAAAAAUCAAUGAAUAGCCUAUUAUUGAUUUGAAGACUUGCUGAUAACAAAAAUUGUAAACACAUAUUUUGUAUAUGUAUUGUAUAUGGUAUUCUUACAAUAAAGCUAGAAAAAAGAAAACAUUAUUAAGAAAA